UAAAGCGCCGGAGUCAUCAUGCGGCGCGCUGAAACCGCAAGGAGUAAUCUUUUACUCUUUGCGGUUUUUUUUAUU
rnacentral:sRNA from 1 species